GACAGAGGUGCCGAGCGUUAGGCGGAAUCACUGGGCUUAAAGCGUGUGUAGGCGGACCCGUAAGUACCUUGUGAAAUCCCACGGCUCAACCGUGGAACGGCUGGGUAUACUGCGGGUCUUGAGCAACCUAGGGGCAGACGGAACAAGUGGUGGAGCGGUGAAAUGCGUAGAUAUCAGGAGGAAUACCGAUGGCGAAGGCAGGUCUCUGGGCUGACACUGACGCUCAUGCACGAAAGCGUGGGGAGCAAACAGG
rnacentral:rRNA from 1 species